GGACCGAGUGCCGCUCACGCCCG
rnacentral:siRNA from 1 species